AACGCGAAGAACCUUACCUAGACUUGACAUCUCCUGCAUUACUCUUAAUCGAGGAAGUCCCUUCGGGGACAGGAUGACAGGUGGUGCAUGGUUGUCGUCAGCUCGUGUCGUGAGAUGUUGGGUUAAGUCCCGCAACGAGCGCAACCCUUAUCUUCAGUAGCCAGCAUUUAAGGUGGGCACUCUGGAGAGACUGCCAGGGAUAACCUGGAGGAAGGUGGGGAUGACGUCAAAUCAUCAUGCCCCUUAUGACCAGGGCUACACACGUGCUACAAUGGCUGUUACAGCGUGGUGCAAUACUGUAAAGUAAAGCGAAUCACUGAAAGACAGUCUCAGUUCGGAUUGAGGUCUGCAACCCGACCUCAUGAAGCUGGAAUCGCUAGUAAUCGCGGAUCAGCAUGCCGCGGUGAAUACGUUCUCGGGUCUUGUACACACCG
rnacentral:rRNA from 1 species